UGAGGAAUAUUGGUCAAUGGGUGCAAGCCUGAACCAGCCAUCCCGCGUGAAGGACGACUGCCCUAUGGGUUGUAAACUUCUUUUGUAUAGGGAUAAACCUACCCUCGUGAGGGUAGCUGAAGGUACUAUACGAAUAAGCACCGGCUAACUCCGUGCCAGCAGCCGCGGUAAUACGGAGGGUGCAAGCGUUAUCCGGAUUUAUUGGGUUUAAAGGGUCCGUAGGCGGACUUAUAAGUCAGUGGUGAAAGCCUGUCGCUUAACGAUAGAACUGCCAUUGAUACUGGAAGUCUUGAGUAUAUUUGAGGUAGCUGGAAUAAGUAGUGUAGCGGUGAAAUGCAUAGAUAUUACUUAGAACACCAAUUGCGAAGGCAGGUUACCAAGAUAUAACUGACGCUGAGGGACGAAAGCGUGGGGAGCGAACA
rnacentral:rRNA from 1 species